rnacentral:rRNA from 1 species
UACAGAGGUCCCGAGCGUUGUUCGGAUUCACUGGGCGUAAAGGGUGCGUAGGCGGUCGGGUAAGUCUGAUGUGAAAUCUCUGGGCUCAACCCAGAAACUGCAUUGGAUACUAUUCGGCUUGAGGUCUGGAGGGGGGACUGGAAUACUUGGUGUAGCAGUGAAAUGCGUAGAUAUCAAGUGGAACACCAGUGGCGAAGGCGAGUCCCUGGACAACUCCUGACGCUGAGGAGCGAAAGCGUGGGGAGCGAACAGG